rnacentral:rRNA from 1 species
GAUGAACGCUCGCUACAGGCUUAACACAUGCAAGUCGCGGGGCAGCAUGGGGGUUGCUUGCAAUCCCCGAUGGCGACCGGCGCACGGGUGAGUAACGCGUAUCCAACCUGCCCUUCACCGCGGGAUAACCCGGCGAAAGUCGGACUAAUACCGUAUGUUGUCCAUUGACGGCAUCCGAUUUGGACGAAAGGUUUGGCGGUGAAGGAUGGGGAUGCGUCCGAUUAGCUGGACGGCGGGGUGACGGCCCACCGUGGCGACGAUCGGUAGGGGUUCUGAGAGGAAGGUCCCCCACACUGGAACUGAGACACGGUCCAGACUCCUACGGGAGGCAGCAGUGAGGAAUAUUUGUCAAUGGGCGUAAGCCUGAACCAGCCAAGUAGCGUGCAGGAUGACGGCCCUAUGGGUUGUAAACUGCUUUUAUGCGGGGAUAAAGUGGCCCACGUGUGGGUUUUUGCAGGUACCGCAUGAAUAAGGACCGGCUAAUUCCGUG